CAAGGAAUAGUUUAUGUAGAAUUCCAGC
rnacentral:tRNA from 1 species